rnacentral:rRNA from 1 species
UACGGAGGGUGCAAGCGUUGUUCGGAAUCAUUGGGCGUAAAGCGCGUGUAGGCGGCUUGGCAAGUCAGUUGUGAAAGCCCGGGGCCCAACCCCGGAACUGCAUCUGAAACUGCCUGGCUAGAGUCCCGGAGAGGAAGGCAGAAUUCCCGGUGUAGGGGUGAAAUCCGUAGAUAUCGAGAGGAACACCUGCGGCGAAGGCGGGUUGCUGGGCUGACACUGACGCUGAUGUGCGAAAGCUAGGGGAGCGAACGGG